UACCAGCACCCCGAGUGGUCGGGACGAUUAUUGGGCCUAAAGCAUCCGUAGCCGGUUUUACAAGUCCCCCGUUAAAUCCACCUGCUUAACAGAUGGGCUGCGGAAGAUACUAUAGAGCUAGGAGGCGGGAGAGGCAAGCGGGUACUCGAUGGGUAGGGGUAAAAUCCGUUGAUCCAUUGAAGACCACCAGUGGCGAAGGCGGCUUGCCAGAACGCGCUCGACGGUGAGGGAUGAAAGCUGGGGGGAGCAAAC
rnacentral:rRNA from 1 species